rnacentral:rRNA from 1 species
AGAGUUUGAUCAUGGCUCAGGAUGAACGCUGGCGGUAUGCCUAACACAUGCAAGUCGAACGGGUAUCUUCGGAUAUUAGUGGCGGACGGGUGAGUAACGCGUGAGAAUCUGCCUUCAGGAUGGGGACAACAGUUGGAAACGACUGCUAAUACCCGAUAUGACGAAAGUUGAAAGAUUUAUCGCCUGGAGAUGAGCUCGCGUCAGAUUAGCUAGAUGGUGUGGUAAAGGCGCACCAUGGCGACGAUCUGUAGCUGGUCUGAGAGGAUGAGCAGCCACACUGGGACUGAGACACGGCCCAGACUCCUACGGGAGGCAGCAGUGGGGAAUUUUCCGCAAUGGGCGCAAGCCUGACGGAGCAAUACCGCGUGAGGGAGGAAGGCUCUUGGGUCGUAAACCUCUUUUCUCAGGGAAGAACAAAAUGACGGUACCUGAGAAUCAGCAUCCGAAUUCCCCC